rnacentral:rRNA from 1 species
UGGCGGACGGGUGAGUAAUGUCUGGGAAACUGCCUGAUGGAGGGGGAUAACUACUGGAAACGGUAGCUAAUACCGCAUAACGUCUCCGGACCAAAGUGGGGGACCUUCGGGCCUCACACCAUCGGAUGUGCCCAGAUGGGAUUAGCUUGUAGGUGGGGUAAUGGCUCACCUAGGCGACGAUCCCUAGCUGGUCUGAGAGGAUGACCAGCCACACUGGAACUGAGACACGGUCCAG